CAGUUUCUUCUCAACUCCCUCUGCUGUUAAAAUCUUCCAAAUACGUGUGCAUUGCUUUAGAAUCGUAAGAUACAAAAAACAAACAAAAAAUCCACCGAAGGAAACCGUGCAGUGCAGGCUCCGCUGUGAAGCCAGGCGACGUCCUCCCCCAGUCUUGACACAAAAUUGUCAUUUCCCGAGUCAGCCCUGAGCCUGUGCCCCGCUCCUUCGGCAGACAGCUAAGGGCAUGCAUUGGCUUUUUAGGAUGAUUUUUAAAUUCCCUUAUUAUUUUCCCUAACUUUCUAACUCUAGAAAUACUCUCAGGAGACCCCUGUCUUCUCAGGAGGGAGGGUUUUGUGGCACCAGGUAGGGGCCAGUGAGCAGGAAGGAAGGAGGUGCUGAACCGGGUGCCCACCAGGUCCAGGGAGGGUGGCCCCCCUCCUCUGACCUCCACCAAGUGGGGCGUCCCUCGGCUGGCCCCCUGCCCUCCCCUGCAUCUGCCUAGCCUGGGCUCUGUGCUUUGCAUCGGCGCCAGCCCUGAGCGCCUCCUGCCAGCGUCCAGUGUUCAGCUGACCUGGGUCCCACACAGCGAUGGGGAAGUCAGGCUCCUGAAGAUUUCUCUUUCCUUCCUUUUACUGUAAACACAGUGGAAUUAAUACUGCAUUUCCAGGAUACCUGAAGACACUUGGUUUUGUUUUUGAGAAGCGUCACUCUGGGGUUGAAGUAACCAGAGACAAGUGAGGGACGUGACCGUGUGGCCACCUCGGGGUGGGGCCUGGCCUGACGAGGGCCCUCAGCCCUGGCUGUUGUCCCAGGACAGGGCAGCGGCCUCUUCGGAAGCUGCAUCUCUGGACCUCUUUGUGGUUCCCCUGCUGGGCCCUUCCUGGCUGGGGGAGCCUGUGGCCGCCCCGCCUGUCCAUAGCUCGGCCAACUCUUGGGGUGGGGCCAUCACUGCUGCACGUGGACGCUGCAGAAUUGGGUGUUGCCAUGCCGGGCUCAGCACUCAGCACCUCUCUGGGGUUUCAUGCAGCCUGGGCGCUACCUUGAGGCCUCAUGGGCUCAGGCUGGUGCCCUGGCACCAAAACUCCAGACGGACAGGCCUUCCCUGUCUGUCCGCCUGCGUGCUGGAGUUUGUGUCUAGGGAGAUGUUGGCCUUCUCCAGGGAGCAGGUGCCUUCCCACGGGCCUGGUCCGAGUGCUCCGGGAACCGGCUUCAGUUCCAGCUCAGCUGGGCUCAGGCACCACUGACCUGGCCGCCCAGCUCCAGCCCCUCUGCCUGGUGGAGCCCAGCCUGCCAUGAGGUGCCCAUAGAGCGCACACCCCAGCUUCUCUCACCCUACUUGGUACUGAGACAUGAGGGAAGCGUCCAGGCAGGAAAUGUCUUCAAAGAAAACCUUCCCCGUUUUCUACAUUGACCUUGAGGUGUUUUCCUGUUAAAACGUCACCUUGUGCUGGGGCCAGCUGUCCUCCAGCUUUAUGGGCAGCAGCCGUUUCUUCCCUCCACCGGCUCUGCUUCCAUUCCUGAAGUCUCAGGCUCUCCCCGGGUGUCAGGUCUGAGGCCCUGAGCCAUCCAGGGAAUGGAGCUGGGGGCCCUCCUGUUCUCCCUCUAGUUUUUCCCAUAACUUUUCCAGUGUAACAGGUUCCCCUCCGUCGGGGAGGCACAGCAGAGCAGCUGCAUCUUGGUUCUCUGCCAACCAUGCGGUUCUGCUCCCCUCCCCUAAGCCCCCGCCCCCGGGAUGGUCAGGGUCCCACCCUGGGCCUCUCUCUGAGCCUCCGUCUGUUCCGGGACGGACUCCUGUCCCCUCCAGUCCCCUUCUGCCCCUUCCUGCCCCCACGGCCGCUUUGCCUGCCCAGGGCCUGAGUGCAGCCUGGGGAGGGGGCUGCCUUCGGGUGUGGGGUCCGAGCCCCCGGCACACGCUGUGU